GAGUUUGAUCCUGGCUCAGAACUAACGCUGGCGGCGUGCCUAACACAUGCAAGUCGUACGAAAAAGUUGGCUUCGGCGGAUGAGUAAAGUGGCGCACGGAUGAGUAACGCGUGGAUAAUCUACCCCUCAGUGGGAAUAACUCACCGAAAGGUGGGCUAAUACCGAAUAAGACUGCGAUAACUACUGUUGUUGUAGUCAAAGAUGGCCUCUGCUUGCAAGCUAUCGCUGAAUGAUGAGUCCGCGUACCAUUAGCUAGUUGGUAGGGUAAUGGCCUACCAAGGCAACGAUGGUUAGCUGGUCUGAGAUGAUGAUCAGCCACACUGGAACUGAGACACGGUCCAUACUCCUACAGGAGGCAGCAGUGAGGAAUAUUGCGCAAUGGGGGCAACCCUGACGCAGCACCGCCGCGUGAGUGAGGAAGGUUUUCGGACCGUAAAGCUCUGUCGAGCGGGAAAAAGUGCAUAGUGGCUAAUAUGCCAUUAUGCUGACGGUACCGCUAAAGGAAGCACCGGCUAACUCCGUGCCAGCAGCCGCGGUAAUACGGGGGGUGCGAGCGUUGUUCGGAAUCAUUGGGCGUAAAGAGCGUGUAGGCGGCGGAUAAGUCAGAAGUGAAAGCCCGGGGCUUAACCCAGGAAGUGCAUUUGAAACUGUUCAGCUUGAGUAAGAGAGAGGAAAGUGGAAUUCCUUGUGUAGAGGUGAAAUUCGUAUAUAUCAGGAGGAACACCGGUGGCGAAGGCGACUUUCUGGCCCUAUACUGACGCUGAGACGAGAGAGCGAGGGUAGCAAACAGGAUGAGAUACCCUGGUAGUCCGCGCUAACGAUGUUCACUAGGUGUUGGGGGUAUUGACCCUCUCAGUGCCGCAGCUAACGCAUUAGUGAAGCGCCUGGAGAGUACGGUCG
rnacentral:rRNA from 1 species